GAUGAAGAACGCAGCGAAAUGCGAUAAGUAAUGUGAAUUGCAGAAUUCAGUGAAUCAUCGAAUCUUUGAACGCACAUUGCGCCCCCUGGUAUUCCGGGGGGCAUGCCUGUUCGAGCGUCAUUACAACCCUCAAGCUCUGCUUGGUGUUGGGCCCCGCCGCCCCGGCGGGCCCUAAAAUCAGUGGCGGUGCCGUCCGGCUCCGAGCGUAGUAAUUCUUCUCGCUCUGGAGGUCCGGGUGUGUGCUCGCCAGCAACCCCCAAUUUUUUUCAGGUUGACCUCGGAUCAGGUAGGGAUACCCGCUGAACUUAAGCAUAUAAUAAGCGGAGGA
rnacentral:misc_RNA from 1 species